AUUCACCUAUUUUUUUUUAGGUUGAGGAUAUGAAUAUAUAUUUAGACAUUCUCAAAGACUGUUUCUUAUCAAGUUUUAGAUAAAUUUUUGUAAGAAAUAUUGAAGUGUUAGUUUUUGCAUUAUGAUUACAGUCAAACCUAAACAUUUUUUACUUUUUAUGCUCUUGACACAGAGCUCCUGCAAAAAAAAAAAAAAAAAAAAAAAAAAAGCUCAGAACGACGCGAAGGAACAAGCCUGUACUUCCAAGUGCACAGCUCAUAAGUGUGUGUGUAUAAUGUGUGUGUGUGUGUGUGUGCUCUUGUUUUCAUGAAAAAUGAGGACAUUUUUAUGAUAACACACCUGCAAUAUGAGGACACUCGGAAAAAUGAGGACAUUUUGGGGGUCCUCAUUUUUCCAUGCUCACUAAACAGUUGUAGAUGCUCCUAGAAUGCCUCUAAACCAAAAACCUCCAAUGUCCUGAAACAUCACAAUUUUAUGACAUGAAGUGUGUAAGUGUGUUUAUGUUUUUUGCUCAUUUGCGGAUACGCCAACUAGUGGUCAGAUCUGGAACUUUAACACACUUUUAACACACAUUGAUGACGCACUCAACGGGUCCUCAUAUAUAACGUUUUCAUAACCAAAAUAUUUAUCAGUUCUUUAUUUAUGACUUGUUAAUUUGUUGAAAGAUAUGUGAUAUCUAUCCUGUGAAGCGUUUUUGUUGUAUGCUGAUGAUUGUUGUAUGAGAGUCAUUGGUUUCAAUAAUAAAAAAUAAAAAACGUUUUCAUACACACCAACUUUUUAAGCUAGUUUAGAAUUAGCCUACUGUAAUUCACACAUUCCACGUAAUCAGAGUAAAAUAAUAACAUCAAUUUACUAUUGCUGAUUAAGUAUCCUGUUUACUUUGUAGAGAAUCAGUUCCUCAAUUAAUUGAAAUUAAUCAGCUGGAUAAGAUAAUGUUAGCUUAUUAAACAAAGAGGAGAACAUCAUUAAUAGGUGGGCCUGGGAAUAUCUGGACAUGCAUAUUAAUUAAAAUAAAUGUAAUUAAUUAAUAUUAAGAACUUCCUUUCAGAAACAGCAUAAUCAUGCCACGGUGGGCCAGCAUAAAAACACGGUCCGGAUCUACCACAUAAGGUGGAGUCUCUCCUGGUCUUUGAGUUGAAAACCUUGAUUAUGUCAUAAUCUAUCAAUAAACUAUCAAUAAUGUUUAAUAUAUAAUUGGGAGUCUAAAUGGCCAAAUGACCAGCCAAAUAACAGCAGUAAGUGGCGCUUUCCUCCCGUCGUCCGGUUGUCUGUUUGGACAAGUGAAGUGCGGCCUGCAUGCUAUGUGCCGGCUUUUCCCACAUUCCCAGAGCCACCGAACGUCUCACAACCGUCUUACCGCUGCUGCUGCAGACUUCUCCUCAGGCAUGACCUGGUAAGUGGUAAGUAAUUACUUUUCUUCAUUUUCAACCACAACGACAGUUAUUCUUUGAGUAUAUGUUAAAUUUGACCGCUCUUUAACAGAACUUUGUGCUUUGUAUUACACUGUUGUAGCUGCCUUUGCACAGUGUUAGCAUCAAUCAAUUUGCCCAAUUAGCUAAAGUUAAUGACAUGCAUUGGUGAGAAAAUGAGUAACGUUAAGUUAAAGUUACAUUUAUUUCUAUAGGCAGAGUAAUACCAUGUAUACAUCCUAUUUUAUUCAAGUAUGGGUCUUUUUUGGUACUUGUUUUGCUGACUUUUUGUCUUUAAUAUCUAUGUAGAUCUUUGCUAAUUGAGGAGCACAUGGUCAAAGAGCAUGUCAAAAAGGAGAACCAGACUUAGCCCUGAGGCUGAGGCUAUUCAGUUUAUUUUAUCUGGAGGUGAAAAACCUUGUUUUAAGGUCGAGUGGAUCAGUGAUUUUAAAGGAAGUGGUGUAUUUACCUGCACACCAAUUGAAAAGGGAUCGUUUGUCGUUGAGUACCGUGGGGAGUUAAUAUCACAAUAUGAACAGGACAAGAGGCAGAAGAAGUACACAGAAAAACAAAAUGCUUUCUUGUUUGAUUUUGAAUUGAACAAUGUCACAUGGUGCAUAGAUGCGUCCCGUGAAGAUGGCUCACUGGGAAGGCUGGUGAAUGAUUGCCACAAGUCACCAAAUUGUAAAAUGAAAAGGUUGACAGUCCAGGGUAAACCUCAUCUUUGCUUAUUCGCAAUUGAAAACAUCCAAGCAGAAACUGAAAUAACCUACGAUUAUGGAGAUUCUCAAUGGCCAUGGCGUAAUCUGACACCAAGUGGCAUGAUCCAGUCUCAACCUUCAGGAGACCCAGAAGUGAGCGAGAGAUCCAGUUCGAACUUCCAACAGGUUAC